AUCUCUCUAAUAUCAAUUUAGUAUACGUGACUUCCAAUCACCCAGUCUUGGUUAAAACCCAAGGAGGGAUA
rnacentral:tRNA from 1 species